AAUGACUGAAUGUGAUUCGGUGAAUAAAUAUGUUUUGUUCAAGUGUUGACACCUGAAGGCUUCGUCCCUCAGACCGAACCGGAUCCAAUUCUCCAGAUCUGAUAGAAGAGAUUGAAAUUGUAAACUUUGAUGAAGAGGAAAAUCUACUCGGACUUGGACCAACAGUGGACUUUGUGGAGGAGCAGUGGUCUGAUUUUCAUAAUUACACUUCAACCAUCAGAUGAGACACAGAAGAGCAGCUGUGUGGUUUGCUGUUGUGUUGUAAACCACAGUCUGAGUAUUGAUUACCUGAGGAUUUAAUUGUGUGCUUUUGGGAGCUCCUCCAUUGGAGCAUGACAUCAUAUCCUAGCUUUUCCAUUAACGUCUGAAAACAAAGAGAUUUUAAACUUGUCUGAGCUCAAACCAGUGUCCAGCAUCAGGAGAGAGAAGCAGUUUCUCCUGCAGGUUUAUUAGACAGUGACAGACUGAGCACCAGAGGAUCCCUGACAACCAGUCCGUCUCACAUCCUGCCUGUCUGCUGACCUCUAAUGCACGGAGGAGAGAGCCGGGGAGGGGAUCGUUCGAAGAGGCUUAUGUGCCUCUCGCUCGUCAUGUAAACAUUUGCAAACUCCAAUGAAAAUCAAUAGCAGAGAGGAGAAAUUCCAGUAACUCUGUAUCCGUGCACACAGCUUGUCUUACAGCGGAAGCCUGGGCCCGGUGACAGACACAUUAACAUAAAGAGCCAUGAAACAUGGUCUGCAUGAAAACUGGAGUUUGACCAGUUUUAUUUUAAACUGUUUGAUAAAAGUCUCUUUUUUUUAAAUGACUGCUUCAU